CCCCACUGCUAUCGGGAUGGGACUAAGACAUGCUAGUCGUGCGCCACAUGGGCGCGGCAGACAGCUCAGUAACACGUGGCUAACCUGCCCUUAGGAUGGGAACAACCCCGGGAAACUGGGGCUAAUUCCCGAUAGGUGAAGAACUCUGGAAUGAGUCUUUGCCCAAAAGGUCAUGAUCGCCUAAGGAUGGGGCCGCGACCGAUCAGGUUGUUGGUGAGGUAAUGGCCCACCAAGCCUAUAACCGGUGCGGGCCGUGAGAGCGGGAGCCCGGAGAUGGGCACUGAGACAAGGGCCCAGGUCCUACGGGGCGCAGCAGUCGCGAAACCUUUGCAAUACACGAAAGUGUGACAGGGUCAUCCCGAGUGCCGACCGCUGAGGUUGGCUUUUACCCAGUCUAGAAAGCUGGGGGAAUAAGGAGAGGGCAAGUCUGGUGUCAGCCGCCGCGGUAAUACCAGCUCUCCGAGUGGUGUGGACGUUUAUUGGGCCUAAAGCAUCCGUAGCUGGCUGAACAAGUCCCCUGUUAAACCCACCGAUUUAAUCGUUGGUCUGCGGGGGAUACUGCUCGGCUAGGGGACGAGAGAGGCAGACGGUAUUCCCGGGGUAGGGGUGAAAUCCUAUAAUCCCGAGAAGACCACCAGUGGCGAAGGCUGUCUGCUAGAACGCGCCCGACGGUGAGGGAUGAAAGCUGGGGGAGCGAACCGGAUUAGAUACCCGGGUAGUCCCAGCUGUAAACGAUGCAGACUAGGUGUUUGGACGGCCACGUGCCGUUCUAGUGCCGCAGGGAAGCUGUUAAGUCUGCCGCCUGGGGAGUACGAUCGCAAGAUUGAAACUUAA
rnacentral:rRNA from 1 species